rnacentral:rRNA from 1 species
GACGAACGCUGGCGGCGUGCUUAACACAUGCAAGUCGAGCGGUAAGGCCCUUUCGGGGGGUACACGAGCGGCGAACGGGUGAGUAACACGUGGGUGACCUGCCCUCAGCUCUGGGAUAAGCCUGGGAAACCGGGUCUAAUACUGGAUAUGACUCCAUGACGCAUGUUGUGGGGUGGAAAGCCUUGUGCGGCUGAGGAUGGGCCCGCGGCCUAUCAGCUUGUUGGUGGGGUGANGGCCUACCAAGGCGACGACGGGUAGCCGGCCUGAGAGGGCGACCGGCCACACUGGGACUGAGACACGGCCCAGACUCCUACGGGAGGCAGC